UACUGAAGGUGCAAGCGUUAAUCGGAAUCACUGGGCGUAAAGCGCUCGUAGGCGGCCUUGUAAGUCAGGUGUGAAAGCCCACGGCUCAACCGUGGAAUUGCACUUGAUACUGCUUGGCUAGAGUUCGGGAGAGGUUAGUGGAAUUUCAGGUGUAGGAGUGAAAUCCGUAGAGAUCUGAAGGAACACCAGUAGCGAAGGCGACUACCUGGAACGAUACUGACGCUGAGGAGCGAAAGCGUGGGGAGCAAACAGG
rnacentral:rRNA from 1 species